CGUAUCACCCAAGACAACUUUACGGAGUUGACGAUUGACGGAGCGAAGCGACGUCAAAGCGUUCAUUAAAGUCGAGUUGGCUUAGGGAUACGUUCGUUGGGUAGGGGAGCGUUCUGUAAGCCUGUGAAGGUGGCCUGUGAGGGUUGCUGGAGGUAUCAGAAGUGCGAAUGCUGACAUAAGUAACGAUAAAGCGGGUGAAAAGCCCGCUCGCCGGAAGACCAAGGGUUCCUGUCCAACGUUAAUCGGGGCAGGGUGAGUCGACCCCUAAGGCGAGGCCGAAAGGCGUAGUCGAUGGGAAACGGGUUAAUAUUCCCGUACUUGGUGUUACUGCGAAGGGGGGACGGAGAAGGCUAUGUUGGCCGGGCGACGGUUGUCCCGGUUUAAGCGUGUAGGUGUGUGUUCCAGGUAAAUCCGGUUCACUUUAACACUGAGGCGUGAUGACGAGGCACUACGGUGCUGAAGCAACAAAUGCCCUGCUUCCAGGAAAAGCCUCUAAGCAU
rnacentral:rRNA from 1 species